GGGACUGUAAGCUAAUGGUAAACUGGCGGUCUCCAAAACCGCUUUUGGGUGUUCGAAUCACCCCAGUCCCG
rfam:Candidatus Desantisbacteria bacterium CG1_02_49_89 cg1_0.2_scaffold_368_c, whole genome shotgun sequence.